CUGCAGCGACGUCGUCUCCACAUGCUGCACAGCACGCUCACGAUCAGCAGACGACACACAGACGAACAACGGGCUGUAGAUGAUAGGAGACGACCAUCCCGCACUGCUUUACUUCGGAGCAAGUCUCAGUUAGUAUGACUGACUUCAUGAAGCAGCUGGACUGGUCAUUUUACUACAAAAUAACGACGGAGACCAACAUCCUGGGAGUCUUCAGAACGCCCAGCUGCUGCCUUGAACCCAAUCCCCAUACCCUCAAUCCCCACACCAAGGCCACCAAAAGGGGAGGAGCAGGAGAGGGCAAACCUGCGGUCAAGCCACAGGAAUGAGGGGAAAUUUCCCAUGCAAAAAAAAACCCACACAAUAUCAUGCCAGAGCUAGCUGUGACAGGUCUGCAGGAUGGUGCUCCUUUCAAGAAAUCCUUCAGCUAUGGCUUGCCUGCGCUAAAAGCCAUACUUUCUCAAAAGAAUCAAAAAUACACAGCUUAUCAGAAAAUGUGGCACCAGGAGAGGACACAACUGCUGCUAUCAGGUGAUUCACUUAACUCCACAGUUUCUCACUGCGUGCACAACGGAAUGCUCUUUGCCACAUAUGACAACCACAGCCAGCAUUCUGACUGCCCUGCUAUAUUUUCUGGUGGAUGGUGGUGCAACGACUAUUUCGUGACCAACUCAACGGUCUGUACAGGAAUGACAGCGGCGGCCUUCUGUCUCCAAAGAAUCAGGGUGUGAAGUGGAACAACUAGCACAGAUAAACAUGGCAAGAUGAAGAUCAGAAACUGAAAGCUGCUUUCCAACGGAAAAAACUUUCAAGUGUCUUUUGGAUUAUACUGUUGGUGGACUCAUGGUACCCUACCAUAAAUAUACUACUAUAUUUAAAUGUUUUAAAAUUUAAAACCAUUGUUUUAAGUGUACAUCUGUGUAGUUGUUAGCACGUGCUUAAUACUUCCAAAGAAAUGCAGAGUCUACUUAUAAUGAUAGUCUUCUUUGUUGGUUAAUAAAAAAUACCAGUUGAAACUGAACUUUGAUUUUAAUAUUUUUGCAAAUUCCUUUAGUGCCUGACCAAAGAGGCAGUUUAUGUACUUGGUCAAGAUGUUGGACUGACUGACUGGCAUGUUAUACAGAAGCUUUAAAAAUUUCAGCCAGGCUACAGGAUUCAACUGAUGGGGACGUCUACCACUCAUCCGACAAUACCACUGAGAUUAGAAGGAUCAGUCUGAAGUAAAUUACCAUUCGGACGACAGUACAUCCACCGACCAAAGCCAAUCUAGUAUUAAUGACAUUCUUUAAAAUUGUCAUAUUCAAUAACUGCCAACUAUUUAUAGGAUUUAUAUUUAUCACACGAUGCCAAUAUUGUGUAGAUCAUGAGGUUCUUAGACUUUUUAUCCAUUUGUGAGAAAACCAUCAUUCUCUCAUGCCGGCCAUACUUUGCAUGCGCAUGUUUUUGUUUUACAUCUGA
rnacentral:misc_RNA from 1 species